ACUGCGCUUCCGCCGCACAGAGCCUGACGAAGGCUUGGGCUCCCCGCGCGGUGACCGUCGAGGUGACCUGCACCUGGCUCCAUGGCGGAACCGGCUGGCACGGAUUAUUCCCCUCUCGGGAGAGGUCUGCAGCCGGGCUUCAGUGCUUCAGUUCGUGGCCUGGCAUUUUGUGAAGAGUGUCUUCAUCUCUGCAUCCCUAGUGCAACAGAGCAUGAUAAAAAUUCAAUAAAUAUUUAUUGAAGAGUCUUGUUGUCUUUUGGGAAAGGAACUCUAUGGUUACCUUUACUCUAAGGCAUUGUGAAGACCCUGUUUCUCUAGCUGUGCAGCCGCAAGGUCACUAGGCAGAUAAACUCAAGCCAUAAAACAUGUUUUUCCUUGAAAAAUUAGAUGGGUGUUACUGAUUCUUACCUCAGAGAAGAGAAUGUCAUGGAGACAAAAUGAUCUGCUUAGAGUUCUGCACCCCCCAGCAUGGAGAGCAGAGCGCAAAGAUUUCUUCCGGACUCUCACAUUCCCCUUGGAAUCCAAGAACUGGUCUACUGUCACAACACUUUAGUACCCUCUUCUCCCAAGGAGGCAGCAGAAACUGGGGUAAUCACAACGGUCAACAGCAGCAAAGGCAGCACUUUCUG
rnacentral:antisense_RNA from 1 species